rnacentral:rRNA from 1 species
GACGAACGCUGGCGGCGUGCUUAACACAUGCAAGUCGAACGGUGAAAGCGGAGCUUGCUCCGCUGGAUCAGUGGCGAACGGGUGAGUAACACGUGGGCAACCUGCCCCUCACUUCGGGAUAACUCCGGGAAACCGGGGCUAAUACCGGAUAUGACCUCCUUGGGCAUCCUUGGAGGUGGAAAGUUUUUCGGUGGGGGAUGGGCCUGCGGCCUAUCAGCUUGUUGGUGCGGUAGUGGCUCACCAAGGCGACGACGGGUAGCCGGCCUGAGAGGGCGACCGGCCACAGUGGGACUGAGGCACGGCCCGGACUCCUACGGGAGGCAGAAGUGGGGAAUAUUGCGCAAUGGGCGAAAGCCUGACGCAGCAACGCCGCGUGCGGGAUGACGGCCUUCGGGUUGUAAACCGCUUUCAGCAGGGAAGAAGCGGCAAGGUGACGGUACCUGCAGAAGAAGCACCGGCUAACUACGUGCCAGCAGCCGCCGUAA